rnacentral:lncRNA from 10 species
AGCGUUUCUUGAAAUGCUGCUCAGCCUGUCCUCUGCUCCCCUGUAGAUACCUCACAAAGAGGCCCUGCUGAGCAGUUCAGUUUCCAGUGGUGCAAAUAAAUAAAGUGGUUGGUGUUUCAGAUAAAAGAGGAGAGAUUCCCAGCCUCCCCACUCCCAGGGGAGCGCUGAAAUCUCCUGCACUGCUGCUUCUCACUGGGGGAUGGCUUACAGAACAGCCCCUUCUGGAAGACCCCCACCCCUCCUGCCUUUAACUCCAAGGACCCUGAGAUCCUGUGCUGAUGAAACAGACUUGUGAAUAUGGCUCCUGAUCCACAGGAUGCAACCUGAACCACAGAAAAUGCUGAGUUCUCCAGAGGCUGUCUUCGUGCCCUGCCUGUUUCCCUUAAGUGUUCAAUGUGUGCUGAUGGCUUCCUGCUGUGAGGGCCUGAGACUGUCCCUGGAGAGCUUCCUAAGAAACAUCAGGGUUCUCACUCAGGGCGGGCAGGAAGCGCUGAGGAGCUGAUGCCUUAAGAACGACCUUCAGCCAAUGAUGGGAAGGACUGAAGGUUGAGCGCAGCAGACUCCUUCCCUCAGGAGGCACAGCUCUGUGGCCUGGGCUCCACAGGGUCCUCUGGAGUUCUGCCUGAGCCCCGCUGUCCACAGCAGUGAUUGGCUCUUUAAUAAGCAGUGUCUUCUCUCUCCUCCCUCUGCCUCUUCACCCUUCUCAACUGCGCUUUCUGGGUUCAUCUCCUGAAUAAACACUUGUUCUAAAAUC